CUGCCACCACCACCUGGGGAGCAGGGUCUCCACACCUGCUUGCCGGGCACACAGGGGGCACCCACCUGGCCAAGGAACAAGCCCCCCAGCCCAGCAGGAUGAAGCAGCGACACCAGCCCAAGCCUGGAGACACCUGAAGCAUGGGGGUGCCAUCAGCCAUGUACUCAUGGCUCCCUGGGUCGACCUCCCUUCCCGCUGGAGACCUGCCGCCUUCAGCACCUAGGAUGCAUGGCCACCCGGUGGAGGAGGAAGGCCCUGAGCAGACGAAGUGAGAAGGGCUGAACGUGGCCACACGAGCGCCACAGCCGCCUGGGCUGCAGGGGACAUGCAAGGCAGAGGCACCAGCCAGGGGUCGUGGCCACGGGCAGCACAGGCCCCAGAGAAGAAGGGCCCCCAGAGAUGAAUGGACCCCAGAGAGACAACAGGCCCCAGAGAGAUAAAGGGCCCCAGAGAGACAAAGGGCCCCAGAGAGACAAAAGGUCCCCAGAGAUACUGCAGGCUCCCAGAGAGAUAUAGGCUCCUAGAGAGACCACAGGGCCCCUGAGAUAGAUACCACAUGAUCCCCAAAGAGACCCUGAGACCCUCAGAAAUGUCCCAGGGCCUCCUGGGGAGACCAGAGGGUCCCCAGAGAGGGCCGGCGGGUGCUGAGGCAGCCUCUCUGUUUGGCAGUUAAUCCAGGGGAGGAAGUCAUUUAUCCAGUUUGAUUAGGGAGACAGGGAGGGACUGCUGGCCGUACUACUAGCUGGAAAUGACAGUCCAGGCUUUAAGGAAAUGUGCUCACUCGCAUUUGAGCGGUGUUUACAUUUCUCUGGAAACACAGACAAGUCCUCUCCAGUCUUGGGGGGCUAGCACUUCCUGGACUCUCACUGGAGGUCUUACAGCCCCUGCACUCACCACUGGGCAGCCUGGCUGGGCUGCCUGCCAUCAGGGACAUCACUCCAACCACUCAGAGAGGGGCCCUGGUUCCUCAGAGCUUAAAAAUGAAAGGUAAUUCC